UACAGAGGUCUCAAGCGUUGUUCGGAUUCAUUGGGCGUAAAGGGUGCGUAGGCGGCGCGGUAAGUCGGGUGUGAAAUCUCGGGGCUUAACUCCGAAACUGCAUUCGAUACUGCCGUGCUUGAGGACUGGAGAGGAGACUGGAAUUUACGGUGUAGCGGUGAAAUGCUUAGAUAUGACAUAGAACACCCAUUGCGAAGGCAGCUAACUACGCGAUAAUUGACGCUGAUGCACGAAAGCGUGGGGAUCAAACAGG
rnacentral:rRNA from 1 species